AUUGAACGCUAGCGGGAUGCCUUACACAUGCAAGUCGAACGGAGUGGCGAACGGGUGAGUAAUGUAUAGGAACGUGCCCAGUAGCGGGGGAUAACUACGCGAAAGCGUAGCUAAUACCGCAUACUAUUUGAGCGGCCGCUAUCGGAUUAGCAAGUUGGUGGGGUAACGGCUCACCAAGGCGACGAUCCGGAGCUGGUUUGAGAGGACGACCAGCAACACUGGGACUGAGACAAGGCCCAGACCCCUACGGUAGGCAGAAGUGGGGAAUGUUGGACAAUGGGGGAAACCCUGAUCCAGUCAUCCCGCGUGUGCGAUGAAGGCCUUCGGGUUGUAAAGCACGUUUGGCAGGAAAGCGGUACCUGCAGAAUAAGCACCGGCUAACUCCGUGCCAGCAGCCGCGGUAAUUC
rnacentral:rRNA from 1 species